UGGGGAAUAUUGCACAAUGGGCGCAAGCCUGAUGCAGCCAUGCCGCGUGUAUGAAGAAGGCCUUCGGGUUGUAAAGUACUUUCAGCGGGGAGGAAGGUGUUGUGGUUAAUAACCUCAGCAAUUGACGUUACCCGCAGAAGAAGCACCGGCUAACUCCGUGCCAGCAGCCGCGGUAAUACGGAGGGUGCAAGCGUUAAUCGGAAUUACUGGGCGUAAAGCGCACGCAGGCGGUCUGUCAAGUCGGAUGUGAAAUCCCCGGGCUCAACCUGGGAACUGCAUCCGAAACUGGCAGGCUUGAGUCUUGUAGAGGGGGGUAGAAUUCCAGGUGUAGCGGUGAAAUGCGUAGUGAUCUGGAGGAAUACCGGUGGCGAAGGCGGCCCCCUGGACAAAGACUGACGCUCAGGUGCGAAAGCGUGGGGAGCAAACA
rnacentral:rRNA from 1 species